UUUAGAUUUGCAAACUACACCGCUACACCAUUUUUAUCAUCGACAAAAAUAGAAACACUGUGAAUGGCCAUUUUUUAAUGGCAGGAAAUGUUGAGUCCCCAUGACAUGUUAUACAACAAGCCUAGUUUUCAUGAAACAUAAAGUAGGCAUUGUAACAAACGGUUUGGUUUAAAUUUUAUUCCAAAACUAACAAAAGGAUGGCAAGCGCUUCAAAAUCUACAAGAAAAGGAUGUGGUCCAAAACACAGCAACUCACCUACAAUAAUAGUUAUGGUUGGUCUUCCUGCAAGAGGGAAAACAUAUAUUGGUAAAAAGUUGUCAAGAUACCUCAACUGGGUUGGUGUCAACACAAAAGUAUUCAAUGUUGGACAAUAUAGGCGGGAAACUGUCAAAUUCAAGUCACAUGAUUUUUUCCGCACUGAUAAUGAAGAAGCGAUGAAGAUAAGAAAGCAAUGUGCAAUGGAGGCAUUGAAAGAUGUGUGCAAGUGGUUGAAGGGAAACGGAAUGAUUGCAGUCUAUGACGCAACCAAUACGACACGAGCAAGAAGAAACGAUAUUUUAGACUUUGCGGAGGAACAUUGUUUUAGGGUGUUUUUCGUGGAAUCGAUUUGUGACGACCCGACAGUUGUUGAACAAAAUGUGGCAGAGGUGAAAGUGAAUGGUCCUGAUUAUCGGGACACAGAUCCAGAUGCUGCCAUGGAGGAUUUCAAACUUCGUAUAGCUCAUUAUAAAGAGUCUUACGAGACGAUUGACCCAACCAUUGAUGAUGAUCUUUCCUACAUCAAGAUAAUUGAUGUAGGUCGUAGGUUCAUGGUGAACAGGGUAGCUGAUCAUAUACAAAGUCGUAUUGUGUAUUACCUCAUGAAUAUUCAUAUACAACCAAGAUCUAUCUACUUGUGCAGACAUGGUGAAAGUGAAAUGAACAUCAAAGGAAGGAUAGGAGGAGAUUCAUCACUAUCUCAAAAUGGAAGAGAGUUUGCUGUAGAAUUGGGUACAUUUAUUAAGAAGCAAGAUAUAAAGGGAUUGACAGUCUGGACGAGUGAAUUAAAACGCACAGGUGAAACUGCCGUACAUAUCGGUGCACCGAGUGAAAAAUGGAAAGCCCUAAAUGAAAUAAGUGCAGGUGUCUGUGAAAGCAUGACGUAUGCGGAAAUCCAACGGAAUUUUCCAGAAGAAUUUGCUCUUCGAGAUCAAGAUAAAUACCAUUACAGAUAUCCAAUGGGAGAGUCCUACCAUGAUCUUGUGACAAGACUGGAACCAGUGAUCAUGGAAUUGGAACGUUCGGAGAAUGUGUUAGUGAUUUGUCAUCAAGCAGUUAUGAGAUGUGUGCUUGCAUAUUACCUGGAUGAAACUUCAGAACGACUUCCUUAUCUUGAGUGUCCACUGCAUACUGUAAUGAAACUGACACCCGUUGCUUAUGGAUGUAAAGUCGAAAGUUUUCCUCUUGGUAUAAAUGCAGUCGACACGCAUAGACCAAAACCUCAGGAUGCUAGUCCCUCGAUGGUACCCAUUGAUGACCCUGUGUGUGAUAUCUGUGGCCCACUGGAAGCUGAGACAGCAAUUUCAAAGAACGAGUCUGAAACUUCCCGAUCAACUUGGCGCCCCACAAGCGCAAGUUCUUCACAGAUAGAACGUCUGAUGAAGAAACGUUCGAACGUUGCGAGAGCGGCGUUAAGGGAUGAAGUGAUCUACCCUCGGCCAGGCGAUGUAGCAUCUGUCAACUCUCUCGUCACUCUCGCUUCGUUCUUCAGACGUCCAGCAACAGCUGUAGAACACAGAGAGACAGAAUUGAACUUGGAGAGAAGGCCAAGUUCAGAUUAGCGCAGACAAUAUCGGUCAUGUGUCACAACCCAACCAUGAAGGACCAGGAACAGCACAAACACUUGAUCACUGACCACCGCAUCCACCAUAGUUUUCAAAUCUCUGAAGCUGACAGCCCUGCUUCCAUCUCCUAAUGCUCCCACUCCUACUUUUUUCUGAGUGCUCGCACUGCCUCGAUAUUUUACUCAGUGCUGUACCACGUCUUCCCCCUUCCCUUAUUCAUCGGCCAUCUUCCAUUCUUUUGCCAUCCUUCUUCUUUCAUUUGUAUUUAGUUCAAUGUUACUUAGCUGUGUUUACUCUCAUGUGUAAGAAAAUUAGACAUGUUGCACCUGUACAUUAGCCUAAGUCAUCUUUUAUAUAUGUUUAAUAUCGUCAAGGUAUAUUCCACGUCAACAGCUAGCUGUGGGGUCGGCGUAUACAUUCGGCUUUGCUUGCCAGUUGCGUUUAUAUCUAGUUCAUAUUUUAGGCUCUGCGUUUUAGCCUCCUGUUAUAAAAUGAAUUAGCAUUCCUGUUUUAGCUUUUGUUUUUUCGAUGCAGUCUCCUCUGCAAUAUGUUCGUUCAGUGUUAUUGUCGAUAUAAAGUAUAAAUAUUUAUUUCGUUUUAAGAGGUUCAUUAUUACUUCAACAGAUUUUCUUUCUUGCAAUCUUUAGCAUAGCUAUAUCGAAAUAUAUCUAACGAACCAUUCCUUUACAUUGGAUAAUAUCCUGUUUUUUAACCUUUUUGUGGUUCUGAAAGUUCAUUUUCAACAGUUUUAUUGUAUUAAACAUAAUUAAAGCUUUGAUGAAACAUCUGCCCAGUUUUCAGGAAUGCAAUAAUUCCCUUUUAGUUGUGUUUUAUUCUCUUGUUUAAUAAAAUGUUGUCCACUUUA